rnacentral:rRNA from 1 species
CAAGCCCUGGAAACGGGGUCUAAUACCGGAUACGACCAUCUGAGGCAUCUCAUGGUGGUGGAAAGCUCCGGCGGUGCAGGAUGAGCCCGCGGCCUAUCAGCUUGUUGGUGGGGUGAUGGCCUACCAAGGCGACGACGGGUAGCCGGCCUGAGAGGGCGACCGGCCACACUGGGACUGAGACACGGCCCAGACUCCUACGGGAGGCAGCAGUGGGGAAUAUUGCACAAUGGGCGAAAGCCUGAUGCAGCGACGCCGCGUGAGGGAUGACGGCCUUCGGGUUGUAAACCUCUUUCAGCAGGGAAGAAGCGAGAGUGACGGUACCUGCAGAAGAAGCACCGGCUAACUACGUGCCAGCAGCCGCGGUAAUACGUAGGGUGCAAGCGUUGUCCGGAAUUAUUGGGCGUAAAGAGCUCGUAGGCGGCUUGUCGCGUCGGAUGUGAAAGCCCGGGGCUUAACCCCGGGUCUGCAUUCGAUACGGGCAGGCUAGAGUUCGGUAGGGGAGAUCGGAAUUCCUGGU